rnacentral:sRNA from 1 species
AAGAACAUUUUAAAUGGGUUAUGACCACUGUGUUUGUGGUUCCAGAGUGUCCCAUGCUUGCUUCUCUCACAGCCCUUUCCACACAUGCUAUUGGCAUCAUUUGCUUAUUUGCCUGAUCCCCCACCCCAACUGAGACCUUAUGCAGAACCCUGUUUUGUUCAUUUUGAUACACUAGAAUCUAGCCUAGAAGUUCAAGGGGGUGGAUAGACAGGGUGGGAGAGAGAGGUCAUUACCCAAUUGUAUAUACCAGUGCAUUGACUGAACUUUUCUUUUCCCACAGAUUGGAAACCAACAUAUAUAUCAGCCUGUGGGUAAACCAGAUCCUGCAGCUCCACCAAAGAAACCGCCUCGCCCUGGAGCUCCCGGUCAUCUGGGAAGCCUUGCCAGCCUCAGCAGCCCUGCUGACAGCUACAACGAGGGUGUCAAGCCAUGGAGGCUUCAGCCCCAGGAAAUCAGCCCCCCUCCUACUGCCAACCUGGACCGGUCGAAUGAUAAGGUGUACGAGAAUGUGACGGGCCUGGUGAAAGCUGUCAUCGAGAUGUCCAGUAAAAUCCAGCCAGCCCCACCAGAGG